AGCGAUUAUGUAAACGAUGCAAAACUGUAUCAUUUCUAUAAAUACGUGGAAGACGUUCUGAACAGUUCCGGACAAAACGGCACGUCCUGUGUACUGCGAACGUUGUGUCAGCUUGGAGCCGAACCACUCCACUCUGUAAAUAAUGGGGACCUUCUGCACGAAAUAGCUACUUUCAUCCUGAAUCCGAAUAACGAUAUAUUAAAUGAGGAGGAUCGAGAAGCAGCCACCUACAUCGAUGCUUAUGAAGCCGGUCGAAACCAACAAAACUGCUUCUCCCUUUACAACAAUUGUACAGUGUCAUUAAUAGAUAUAUUUACUAUAGUAAACUAAAA